rnacentral:lncRNA from 1 species
GUUCAUUUUUUUUAAAUUUUUGUUGUGUGCGAUUAACAGCAAAAGUAGGCCAGACAAUUGGUUCCGCGGAACUCUCACAAAUUUUAUUUUGCGAAUUCAGGGAACUCGCUUCGAUGUUAAGGUUAACGUGAUCGCCUCGAGUGCAGAAAUGUUUAAUCCUUGAUGGGAUCAAAUCGAAAGCUUCAACAUUCGAUGGCAUGCGGGUCUUGUUGGUGAUCCUCAAUUCCAAAUUCUUUCAAUUUUUGACAUAAUUUUACAUUAAUUCAGUACUUAUAAUUAAUCCUAUUGUUAAUAUUACCCCACUCCAUUAUUCUCUAUUUGAUAUUUAAUGCAUGGUUUUGUCUGCGUUUUUUUUCUGUAACAUUGAUGUGUUAUCCUUUAACUGUAAACCUUGUAUGUUUUAAAAUUGACACCUCUCAUUUCCAUGGAAAUUAUUAGGCUCCGUCCCCUCAGUCAUGGUCUAUUGUCUCUGGAACUGUGUCUUUUUUCUUUCUUUUUUUUUUACAUGUAUUAGUUUAUGAUUAGGUCAGUUUAUGGGGAGCCUGUUCUUAAUUUUCAUUUCCUUAUAUUAGACCCAAUCAACGGUCAGGAAUCAUCCAACAGAUUUUUUUUUUUGACUGAAUCAGGUCAGGAAAGAAAUGGAAGUCUCUGUACCGAAUAACACUAAGAGGAAAGCAACGUGGGCAUACAAUUUAUAUUGUUCCUGGAAGACAGCAGCGCAACAUCAAGAGUUUUCACCAUCAAUCAAACGUGCACUGGAGAGGGACAUUUUGAAUUUGGUCGAUGAGGAGCUUAUUUAUUCUUUACAUCCGUGCAACAACAUUGAUUGAUUGAUUGUAGCUUUCUUGGUGGCAAUCCCCGGGCAGACCGAAAGUCAAGACUUGAUACAUUCCGCACAGCCAAACAGAUACAAUGCCGGUCGGGAGAAACCCAAAUGACCAUAUUUUGUUUUCCCAAUCACCCUUGGGGGCUCAAAUGCGCUGUGGAAACUGGACGUGAUCUCGGGUGCUACGAAAACGUUAUCAGAUCCCGCUCCACAUGUGGCAUACGUCG